rnacentral:ncRNA from 1 species
CUUCACAGGUUAUCCCGUGGCCUGAGUGGUAGAAGCAAAGCUACUGCUAGUCACUAUUAGUGGCGAUGUCUCCAAAUUGCGUGAAACCCGUCAUACAGCUUCAAGUACCACUUCAAUUGAGAAAUCUUUUGAAGGAACAGAGGUAACUCCUCUUCCCAAUGGUAAAAAGCUUGAAGACAUGGUGGCAAUGCGCAGCCAAGCUCCUAAGUAUUUAAAUAUAAGGAGAAGGUUCAGAGAGCAGACGGAGAUGGGCGGUAAUUUAUCCGCUUAAGGUGUGCUCCAGCCUCAUUCGAAAGAUUGGG